GAUGAACGCUGGCGGCGUGCCUAAUACAUGCAAGUCGAGCGAACAGACGAGGAGCUUGCUCCUCUGGCGUUAGCGGCGGACGGGUGAGUAACACGUGGAUAACCUACCUAUAAGACUGGGAUAACUUCGGGAAACCGGAGCUAAUACCGGAUAAUAUAUUGAACCGCAUGGUUCAAUAGUGAAAGACGGUUUUGCUGUCACUUAUAGAUGGAUCCGCGCCGCAUUAGCUAGUUGGUAAGGUAACGGCUUACCAAGGCAACGAUGCGUAGCCGACCUGAGAGGGUGAUCGGCCACACUGGAACUGAGACACGGUCCAGACUCCUACGGGAGGCAGCAGUAGGGAAUCUUCCGCAAUGGGCGAAAGCCUGACGGAGCAACGCCGCGUGAGUGAUGAAGGUCUUCGGAUCGUAAAACUCUGUUAUUAGGGAAGAACAAAUGUGUAAGUAAAUAUGCACGUCUUGACGGUACCUAAUCAGAAAGCCACGGCUAACUACGUG
rnacentral:rRNA from 1 species